GUUGGGUGUCGGUCUACGACUCGGGUGGGAGCCUGUCAUGUGUUACGCUUCGCGGCGUCAUGUGGCAGACCCCCGGUUGUCUGACCAGCUGCCCGGCGGUAUUCGCACGGUAUCGAGUCGCAAUUUGAACUGCGUCCGGCCCGCCGCAAGCGAGGCCAGUGUUUCCCGGAUGUACGGACUUAGCGCCGUCACCGGGCCUGGCCAGCUGUUGGCCGGCGGUGUCCUGGGACUGGCUCUACAAAUACCGGUCGGCGACGCUACUGCUUUGGGUACUUUCAGGACCCGUCUUGAAACACGGACCAAGGAGUCUAACAUGUGCGCGAGUCAUUGGGAUCUGUUAAGCCUAAAGGCGCAAUGAAAGUGAAGGUAGGCCUUGCGCCAACCGAGGGAGGAUGGGCCGCGUCACGAUGCGGUCCCGCACUCCCGGGGCGUCUCGUUCUCAUUGCGAGAAGAGGCGCACCCAG
rnacentral:rRNA from 1 species